CCGGGCGCACACAGACCCCCGAGCACCACAGCCACCGACGGCUGCACAAGAUGGCCGCCGGGCCCGCCCCUCGGAGGCGGCCCGAGCAGGGCCCCGCCCGCGGCGGCGCGGGUAGCGCCGCGCCUGUGGGGCAGCCUUGACGAGGGGCCGCGGGUUCGCGGCACAGCCGCCUUGGAUCCCUUAGGGAAUCGGUGGUUUUCUUUCCGAAAUCACUAGUUCUAUGCCUAUCCCAUGCCACCGCCUGCAGCCGUCCCUCUGUCUUUGCGUCCACCGCGUGUCCCCUCGGGGCGUGCCCUCAGGCCAAUAAAUGGCUCACCCUCCACGCCCCUGCCCAUGCACACCCUAUUGCCUCGCCAAAGGGUAAAGAAACUAGGACCUUGAUCCUUGAUGGAGGCAGAUUUAAAUCACAGAAUGUGAAGGGGCUGGAAUAGACCUUCGGGAUCGCCCAGACCGAACCACUCCUGCCAUAGACAGAUGUCUCCCACCGGAGCAGGUUGCUCAGAGCCCCAUCCAGCCUGGCCUUCAACACUUCCCAGUUCCUGACGAAAAAUCCCUCUCCAGCUUUCCUGUAGGCUUGCUUCAGAUACUGAGAGACUGCUAUGAGGUCUCCACACAACCUUCUCUUCUCCAGGCUGAACAGCUCCGACUUUCUCAGCCUGUCUUCAUAGUGGGAAUGCUCCUGUCCUCUUACCAACUUCAUGGCCUUCCUCUGGACUUCCUCCAACAGCUCCAUGUCCAUCUUAUGAAUAAAGUGGCAGAAGAGCUACUCUUUCAGCAGUAACAACUUCCAGUAUUAUUAAGGUGUCAGCAUUUGCAUAGUCCAUGUCUGACUGUGCCACUCUCUCAACUGCAACUAGCUAGGGUCUGGUUCUGAAGCUUUUCAGGUAUCCCUGUCCUUAAAAUGUAGAUAUCCUGGGGAGAGGCAGGAUGAACAGCAGAAACUUUUAUCUAUUUCAGUAAUUGGCUGAGUUUCUCUAAUAUUUUACCAAGAGAAGAGUUCACAAAGGUUGAACAGGAGGUUUGCAGUGUAGAUAUAUGAUUACAUACAAUAUUGCAGUACUAGAAAUGUUUUUCUCCCAGGGGGUGGUUGGGCAGUGGAACGGGCCACCCAGGGAAGUGGUUGCAG
rnacentral:lncRNA from 1 species